UUCGCCAAGGCGCCUAAGAAAGUCGACUCCUCCGACCCGGUCUUCACCCGUGAAAAUUAGACCCUUGACGACGAUGCACAGGACAGAAAGCACAGAGCAGAAACAGCCGUCUGGAAGCAGUUGGAAUGACCCUCCCUACCUGUUCAUCCCAUUUCAGCGUGUUUGUAUAAACAGAGAUGCCAAGGAGUUUAACUGAGGAAACCGUCUGGAGCUGAGUCUCGUCAAUAACUACAUUAAAAGGAGGUGGUAAAUUACGAUGUGAUGAAACUUGCAUGGCUUUGCAUUUUACAGGAUUCAACUUCAUAUCAUUUUCCUGACACCAAUUAGCAAUGGAAUCGAAUCUAAAUAACCCGGCAAAUUUGAUUUCCCAUUCUGAGGAAUAACCUCAAGAACAGUUAAAUCAACAACACACUUCCAGCGAUGGGGUAUAUUACAAGCUAAAUCGUAGAGUACAAGAGUCUCUGUCAUCGUUAGUCUAGGCUAACUCCCCUGAUGGAAAGAUUCAUUAACGACUCCUAAAUCUUCGAGUGGAUUUACAUGCGGAGCUGUUACUUUAAACAGAGAACAGGAUACAGCAGUGACAGGUAAACCAUGUCCAUAUUUCGGGAGCGCGCGUUACACACAGCGCCUCCAUACAUCUUAACCUGGUACCGUCCUUGCAUUGAUGAAAUAAUCUCACUGGCUAUCUUGGCCACAAAGAUCACUUGAGGAAUUUGGUUGAUGAAUAGUUCCCCCAUCACUGAAAUACCAGAACACCAUUAACUCACUUAACAGUUGUAGGCCUGCCAUGUAGACAUUCCUGGUACUGUGUGCAAUUACUCCCAUUGAUGUUUGCCAGUGGUCGCCUGAUCUGUAAUUGAAAGUCCAGGAACCAGGCUGUAUAGAAAUUUAACUAUACCCAGCAAGAAAUUAGACUGAGG